rnacentral:lncRNA from 1 species
CUUUUGUCUUUUGUUGUUGUUGUUGUUGCUAUUUCUUGGGCCGCUCCCGCGGCAUAUGGAGGUUCCCAGGCUAGGGGUUGAAUCGGAGCUGUAGCCACCGGCCUACGCCAGAGCCACAGCAACGCGGGAUCCAAGCCGCGUCUGCAGCCUACACCACAGCUCACGGCAACGCCGGAUCGUUAACCCACUGAGCAAGGGCAGGGAUGGAACCCGCAACCUCAUGGUUCCUAGUCGGAUUCGUUAACCACUGCGCCACGACGGGCAAAUAGAUGAUAACUUUAAACAUGGACACAAAUCUUUUUUUGGGGGGGCCAUGCCCGCAGCAUAUGGAGGUUCCCAGGCUAGGGGUCGAAUCAGACCUGUAGUCGCCAGUCUACGCCACAGCCACAGCAACACAAGAUCCAAGCCAUGUCUGCAACCUGCACCACAGCUCAUGGCAAUGAGAGAUCCUUAACCCACUGAGCAAGGCCAGGGAUCAAACCCGUGUCCUUAUAGACACUGGUCAGGUUUUUAACCACUGAGCCAUGACGGGAACUCCAAACAUGGGCCCAAACCUUAAAAGAAAAAAAAAAGCAUAUAGGAUGAGAAAAGUAAGUGGGUCUGGGGCAAAAAUAUGAGGAACAUCAUUAUUUAAGGAAAGGGCAGAAAAGGUACAACCGCAAAAGAGAUUGAGAACCGAGGUCCACACGGGAAGAUGGAAACCCAGGAGAGUUCUGAAUCACAGACACAAAGGAAGAGGCUUCAAGAAAGAGAGUGUUGGAGUUCCCGCCACGAUGCCGUGCCUUAAGAAUCCGACUGCAACAGUUUGUGUUGCUGUGGAGGCGCAGGGUGGGUUUGAUCCCUGGCCCAGAGCAGUGGGUUAAAGGAUUGGGCAUUGCUGCAGCUGUGGUGUAGGACGUAGCUGUGGCUUGGAGCCAAGCCCUGGCCCAGGGAAUUUCCAUAUGCCAAGGAUGUGGCCACAAAAAUUAAAUAAAUAAAAAUGAAAUCUAAAUUUAAAAAUUUUUAAAAAGACAUUGUCAAUUGAGUCAAAUGCUGCUGAGAUGUCGAAAACUGCGGGAAGGUCAAUUUGGAAAGGUUAAAAAGCUGAAGUCUCCAUCUGCCAGCCGGCCUUGCAGCAAGGGUUUUAGCCCUGAAUGAGGUUUCACCAGUGAGAUGCACUUGGCUUGAGAUUCAGACAGUGGAACGGAGCAAUCUUUAUGGAGCUUUUGGCUGUUUCCAUGCCCGUUGAUGAUAUAUUCAUGAAAACUGUAACUCAGGUCUGCCUCUAGAGAACAUAACAGGCCAAUAAUAUCCUGAUUAUCAAGGCCAUCAAAGCCAAACCAAAUUGGCUACAGUGCUUUUUAAAAGACAGUAUGGCUUUAAUGUAACAACAAAUGCUGCCACAUUGAAGGUCCACAGGGCGAUCCUCCUUUGGGCUGUCAGAUCUGGACAUGCCAUGUGAAGAGACCCUGGAGCAUCAUCAGAAUUCAAUUCAAAUAACAAGACUCUGUUACGUUGUGAGACUUAGCCUGCUCUUUCUGCAAGGAGAGCUGAUUACGGAGAAGCAAGGUGGGGAGAAGGGAUGUUGAAAGGGUGGACAUGCAGAAGCCCAGCUCCAGGGAUGCAUCAGGGCCUUGGGCGGUGACGAUGCUAAAGCAGCAGACAGCAGACAGAUUUGUGAGAGAACAGCAGACAGACUCAGGUUGGCUUCUGCUGUGCCUCAAAGAAUUCCCACAGACAUUGAGAAGGUACCAAGUUCAGCAGAUGGUGGCCAGUGUGUGGAGCUAAAGGAUUAUGCUUACUUCUAAGGGGUAUAAGUGACUUCUGACUAGUACCAGACUUUUCAGCUGCGGUACCUGGCAAUGAUUCCCAAAAGAAAUCUAGGAUUUACAGUCUUCCCCUUUACUCUUUCUCUUCUACAGCUUUCUUCUGAGAGAGAGAGAAAGAGAGAGAAGAAAAGGAAUUAAUAAUCUCAUUUCUUCUUGGCCUAAAUCAUAGCAAGGCGAGGUUAAAGAAUUUUCCAAGGUCCUUAGCAGAAGCAAUCUGAAGACUUACAUGAGUUGCUAAAUACUUCUGCGGAGACCUCCCCAAUACAUGGUUGUUUUAAACAAUGCUCUCAUGUCAUGCUCAUCACAACUCUGUAGAAAACCAGGCAAGUCUUUGCUCUCCUUUCCGUUUUACAGAGGAGGAAACAGAGAUCCUAGGGAGGUGGACUUGGCCAGCUCAUAUCACUAAAAGCAGCAGAGCAAAAGUAGAACCUUGGUUUUCCCUCUCCCAGUCUUUUGGUAAAUUCUGUCACUUGAGAUGAAGCACAAUGCAACUUGAUCUUUAAAGCUGGGGCUUGGGCAGUUACUGAGCCUCCACACUGUUCAUGGAAAAUAACCAAGAAACACAUUCUGGGAUAGCCUGGGACGUCAAGGUCAAGAGAAACAUCCAGCGCUGGUCUAACCAAUCUGUGUAAGUAACAGCUAAUUUGACUUGCUGAGAAAACAGUAACAUGCAAAUAUAAGACUGCGGUUAAUGGUUCAGCAUUAAUUACCAAAUGUCAUCAAAACCACCAGGUUUGCCCAGUCGGGUGUGGGGAUGGCCUGAAAGCUCAAGAGAGUCACAAGUGUUCAUAAGAAAAUGGCCAAUACCCUCAUGUGUUUCCUCUCUGGGGGUCCUGCUCACCUCCUCCGUUGAAACUGAAACAUAGUGCAGCCCAGAUACAAAGUCCAGGCGACCAUUUUUCACAACUUUUUCUCUUUGCCUUUACCAGGGACAGAGUUUUGGCAUCUUUAUUAUGUCAUUAAUUUUAGUUAUGUUCUGAACAUGGAGCAAGGAGGUCUUUGAGGCUACGGGUGACUGACAGUGUUUAGACAAGUCCAAUUAAGUUUCUUCUGUUUGGAGAAUCUUGGGAAGAUAAAUAAAUCACUGAAACUUUCAUCAUGAAAAUCACCAUUGAGCCAAGGCAAUGCUUCUCCUGGGAAAGCAUGAAGAUUCAUGUCAGGAGGAAGGGGACAGCCAGCAGAGCAGCCGCUGCCAGGAACAGAUCCCAUCAUGAACUGAACUGACCCAAGCAUCCAGCUCAGCUCUGCGUAUGCCCUGUACUCUGUCUCCUCAGAGCCCCUUUGCAAGAUGCUUCCUUCACUCAUGUCGCCGUAGAGGCUUGUGGUGGUGAGGAGACAGUGUCCAAAGGUGACUGAUAAUGCUUUGGCCAACAAACACAUCCCAAUCCUGCUAUUUGAAUCCCAGGGCCUCCCUCUACCCCGUGUCUGCCCUUAGAGCUCCUGUCUUCUCUCAGGACUCCCUUCUAUACCGGGUAGAGCCCUAAGAUGCAUGAAAAUGAAAGUGAUGUCAAGUUCUUUAGGACUUCUCACCUACAGCGGCACCCCCCUCCCAUGUCCCAUGUUCCUGCUCCCUCCCUUCAUCUCAAGGGCCCCUGCGAAUGAUGCCUGAUGAAGAUCUCAGAUGCCACGGGGACGAUUAAAGAAAUUUGUCUACAAACGAAUCAUUAAAUGGCACUGAAGAAUUACUGUUAACUUGAAGUCUGUUCAUGCCAUGGUGGUUAUAUAAUUUUUUUAGAUGCUUAUAAGUUGGAUGUACAUCCUGAAGCAUUUACAGAUGAAAUGGCAUAAUGUCUGAAUUUGCUUUUUUUCUUUCCUUUUUCCUUUUUUGGCUGCGAGGAAGUUCCCAGGCCAGAGAUCAAACCCUUACCACGGCAGCGGCAGCGACCCAAGCAGCUUCAGCGAUAACAAUGGGUCCCUCACUCACUGAGCCACAGCAGCAACUCCUGAAUUUGCUUUGAAAGUAAAGGCGGGGGAAGAUGAUGUCGGUUAGGCUCUUGUCAGGAGACAGAAUCCACGCCACUUAUUGUAACAGAGAAUUUAACAGAAAGAACUAUUAACCAGGACACUGAAAGCCGAAACGAGAAACGAAGGUACCUCAAAAGUAGCAACUGCAGGAAGUAGUUACUGCCCCAGGGUCGGGACAUAAAGGGAAGAAGUUGGUUGCACUUAUCAAAACCUUGGAGAAGGGG